CACGCCGUAAACUAUGAGAACUAAGUGUUGGAGAAAUCCAGUGCUGAAGUUAACACAUUAAGUUCUCCGCCUGGGGAGUACGUUCGCAAGAAUGAAACUUAAAGGAAUUGACGGGGGCCCGCACAAGCAGUGGAGCAUGUGGUUUAAUUCGACGCUACGCGAAGAACCUUACCAGGACUUGACAUCUGGCUAAAUACCCUAGAGAUAGGGGGAUAGUCAUAGCCAAGACAGGUGG
rnacentral:rRNA from 1 species